rnacentral:sRNA from 1 species
GAUGCAAGGGUCAAAAGGGCAUGUGUUUCAUGCUUGCGUGAAAAAACAUGACUUUGGGACCCGUUAAACAUGAGAAAGCAGCCAUUUUUCGUAGAAAAAUGAGCGGACUUCGAAUGUUUUUUGGAUUUCGGGAGUGUAAAACACGGAGAAAUCCGAAGGCAUC